GAGGGUACAGCUCAGUGGUAGAGUGCGUGCUUAGCAGGCACAGGGUCCUGGGUUCAAUCCCCAGUACUGCCA
rfam:Camelus ferus unplaced genomic scaffold scaffold1443, whole genome shotgun sequence.